UCUUCACGAAUUUUCUCUCUUUUUUUCUUUCUUUCUUUUUUUUCUAUUGACUCUCUCUCUCUCUCUCUCUUCAUUGUACUGAUCAUGGCGGUAACAGACCUGCUGAAACCCGGAUUGCAAAACUGCGAUGUCCAAGAAAACAGCGGAAAACCAUCAGAGGAACGGAGGCCACAGAGACUGAAUUAGAUUAAGAGCAUCAUCU
rnacentral:lncRNA from 1 species